rnacentral:rRNA from 1 species
CCUGGCUCAGAUUGAACGCUGGCGGCAUGCCUUACACAUGCAAGUCGAACGGCAGCGGACCUUCGGGUGCCGGCGAGUGGCGAACGGUGAGUAAUAUAUCGGAACGUACCUUUCAGUGGGGAUAACGUAGCGAAAGUUACGCUAAUACCGCAUAUUCUGUGAGCAGGAAAGCAGGGGAUCGCAAGACCUUGCGCUGAUUGAGCGGCCGAUAUCAGAUUAGCUAGUUGGUGAGGUAAAGGCUCACCAAGGCGACGAUCUGUAGCGGGUCUGAGAGGAUGAUCCGCCACACUGUAACUGAGACACGGUCCAGACUCCUACGGGAGGCAGCAGUGGGGAAUUUUGGACAAUGGGCGCAAGCCUGAUCCAGCCAUGCCGCGUGAGUGAAGAAGGCCUUCGGGUUGUAAAGCUCUUUCGGCCGGGAAGAAAUCGCACGGGUUAAUACCUUGUGUGGAUGACGGUACCGGAAUAAGAAGCACCGGCUAACUACGUG